rnacentral:lncRNA from 1 species
CACAAUGAGCAGGAAACGGAUCCUCCUCUAGAGCAUCUGGAAACAGACGCAGCCCUGCUGACCCUUUGAUUUCUGCUGAUAUAGACAGGCAUUGCUCCGAGCCAGGAUCAAAUGUGGAGAAGCAGUGGCUGUUCUGACAGGUGGCGGUCUUGUCUCGAUGUGAGCGGAGUCCAACAGACGCUGACAUCUCCGGUGAAUGGCUUCAAUGAUAAUUUUAAAAAAUCAUGGUGGCUGCUUUAUGGAUAAUAUACAAUUUUGCAAGCCUCAAACGGAAGGUCUACAAUGGCAUAAUUAACUGAACUGAACUGCAAAUUGGAUGCACAAAAAUCCUACGGGUUUCCCCUUAGAAAGGAAGAAUAUGACCUUAUUCCAAGACCAAGAUCUUAUUCAUAGUAUGUAUUGGCAAUUUAGCUGUCAGGUUUAACAUUAUUAUCAUGAAAAGAGGAAAAUAAAUAAAAAACUUUUUAAAAGGGUCUGCCUUUUAAACCCUUGUGUAGUUUUUUUUUCCUUCUAAUUUACUUACUUUUUCUUGACUAUUGAAAAUGUACAAUAACAACUUGUGUCUAGGUGGGCAUGCUGGCACGUGCCUGUAAUCCCAGGUACUCAGGAGGCUAAGGCAGGAGGAUCACUUUAGCUCAGGAGUUUGAGUCUAGCCUGGGCAACAUAGCAAGACACUAUUACAAAAAAAAACAAACUUGUGUUUUUUCUCUAAUGACAGCAAAGUAUGAGUUUCAAAAUAUAGAUUGAGCAUCCCUUGUGUGAAAUGCCUGGGACACAAAGUGUUGUGGAUUUCAAUAUUUUUUGGAUUUUGGAAUAUUUGCAUACUAUGUACUGGUUAAGCAUAAUUUAAGUUAAAUUCAAAAUCCAAAAUAUUCCCAAUGAGCAUUUCCUUUCAGCAACACAUCAGCAUGCAAAAUGUCUUGGAUUUUGAAGCAUUGUGGAUUUGGAGUUUUUGGAUUAGGUAUAUUCAACCUAUCUGCACCUACAAGAGACAUACACCAAUAAAAAAUUUUAAAAUCCAGGUUCACAUUUUAUCAACUACAAGACUUUGUAAUAUGAAUGGCAUUUAUUUUAUAAACAUUUAUUGCACAACUACCAGGUGCCUGGCAGUGUCCUUGGUUCCAGGAAGACAAAAUAAGUCCUUGACAAACCUAGCAAAGAAACUGCUAUGUAAACAAAUAGUUACACGACAGUGUCAAAUAUUUAAUAAUAACAACACACGCACAGUGCAGCGGUCAUGUGGAUACCUAUGCAGUGGUAUUCUAUGGGAAAGAGGUGGUUCACUGGUCAUCUACAAGGGGAUCUUUGAGAUGAGAACAGAGAAAUAAAUGCACAUUAUGCCAGCUCAUGCAAAACACAGAAUGCAUCGCCACUUUCACACCAACAGGUAUAAACAUUACCUUUUCUGAACAUAUGGAAAAUAUUUUAAUCUAAAGACAGGACAAGCUAGCUCAGCAAGUCAGAGGAAGACAGCAUGAUUGAAUUUC